rnacentral:rRNA from 1 species
GACGAACGCUGGCGGCGUGCUUAACACAUGCAAGUCGAACGGAAAGGCCCUGCUUUUGUGGGGUGCUCGAGUGGCGAACGGGUGAGUAACACGUGAGUAACCUGCCCUUGACUUUGGGAUAACUUCAGGAAACUGGGGCUAAUACCGGAUAGGAGCUCCUGCUGCAUGGUGGGGGUUGGAAAGUUUCGGCGGUUGGGGAUGGACUCGCGGCUUAUCAGCUUGUGGGUGGGGUAGUGGCUUACCAAGGCUUUGACGGGUAGCCGGCCUGAGAGGGUGACCGGCCACAUUGGGACUGAGAUACGGCCCAGACUCCUGCGGGAGGCAGCAGUGGGGAAUAUUGCACAAUGGGCGGAAGCCUGAUGCAGCAACGCCGCGUGCUGGAUGACGGCCUUCGUGUUGUAAACCGCUUUCGCCUGUGACGAAGCGUGAGUGACGGUAAUGGGUAAAGAAGCACCGGCUAACUACGUG